rnacentral:misc_RNA from 1 species
AGGACUACACGGGUAUCUAAUCCUGUUUGCUCCCCACGCUUUCGUGCCUCAGUGUCAGUGAUGGUCCAGAGAGCCGCCUUCGCAACUGAUGUUCCUCCCGAUCUCUACGCAUUUCACUGCUACACCGGGAAUUCCACUCUCCUCUACCUCACUCUAGCUUGCCAGUAUCCAUCGCCAUUCCCAGGUUGAGCCCGGGGAUUUCACGACAGACUUAACAAACCACCUACGCACGCUUUACGCCCAGUAAUUCCGAGUAACGCUUGCACCCUUCGUAUUACCGCGGCGGCUGGCACCA